CAGCACCUCAAGUGGUCAGGAUGAUUAUUGGGCCUAAAGCAUCCGUAGCCGGCUCUGUAAGUUUUCGGUUAAAUCUGUAUGCUCAACAUACAGGCUGCCGGGAAUACUGCAGAGCUAGGGAGUGGGAGAGGUAGACGGUACUCGGUAGGAAGGGGUAAAAUCCUUUGAUCUAUUGAUGACACCUGUGGCGAAGGCGGUCUACCAGAACACGUCCGACGGUGAGGGAUGAAAGCUGGGGGAGCAAACCGGAUUAGAUACCCGAGUAGUCC
rnacentral:rRNA from 1 species